CAGCCGCCACGGUAAUACGGAGGGGGCUAGCGUUGUUCGGAAUUACUGGGCGUAAAGCGCACGUAGGCGGCUUGGUAAGUUAGAGGUGAAAGCCCGGAGCUCAACUCCGGAAUUGCCUUUAAGACUGCCGAGCUAGUAGGUGAGAGAGGUAAGUGGAAUUCCGAGUGUAGAGGUGAAAUUCGUAGAGAUGUGGAGGAACACCAGUGGCGAAGGCGACUCUCUGGUCUGUAACUGACGCUGAGGAGCGAAAGCGUGGGGAGCGAACAGGAUUAGAUACCCCUGUAGUCCCUGUCUCUUAUAA
rnacentral:rRNA from 1 species